rnacentral:rRNA from 1 species
AUUGAACGCUGGCGGCAGGCUUAACACAUGCAAGUCGAGCGGGGUGAUGGUGCUUGCACUAUCACUUAGCGGCGGACGGGUGAGUAAUGCUUAGGAAUCUGCCUAUUAGUGGGGGACAACAUCUCGAAAGGGAUGCUAAUACCGCAUACGUCCUACGGGAGAAAGCAGGGGAUCACUUGUGACCUUGCGCUAAUAGAUGAGCCUCAGUCGGAUUAGCUAGUUGGUGGGGUAAAGGCCUACCAAGGCGACGAUCUGUAGCGGGUCUGAGAGGAUGAUCCGCCACACUGGGACUGAGACACGGACCAGACUCCUACGGGAGGCAGCAGUGGGGAAUAUUGGACGAUGGGGGGAACCCUGAUCCAGCCAUGCCGCGUGUGUGAAGAAGGCCUUAUGGUUGUAAAGCACUUUAAGCGAGGAGGAGGCUCUUUUGGUUAAUACCCAAGAUGAGUGGACGUUACUCGCAGAAUAAGCACCGGCUAACUCUGUGCCAGCAGCCGCGGUAA